CCCUGUCCCGACCCAGCCCAUCCUAAUUACCCCUUUCAUUUACCCUAGCAUCUCAUAUCAUAAACAACUCUCUCUCUCUCACCCACUCACUCUCAAAUACUAUCACACAUAUAACAGUCGACCACUCUCUCUUUCACUCUCCAACACCGCUGGCAACAACUGAUAAGGCCAUUGGAUAGCAACCCUAUUGAAGGACAACAAUGCAGUAGCAGUCGACGCUCAUCUCUCUCCGUCGAUGAAUAGUAACGUGCUCAAUCUCUCACCGACCCCAACAGCCGUCGAUGCAGCAAUGCCACGACGGGUGGACAACAACUCCGGCAAUGAUUGUGAUAAUUAAUCCAUUUGAGUGCAAUUUCGUAGGCCCCUUCAAUGAAGAGGCCCAUAAUUCUUGGUUGACAAAAGGAAGGGAUCUAUCUUCUAAAUUCACUCAAGCCUAGUACUAGUAAUUUAAGCAGAAACAAGGACAUUAGUCCAUUUUAUUUCAAAUGUAAUACACCAAGUGAUCAAUCUUUACUUUUUGUUUCAUGUUCAACAGUCAAUUCAAAUGAUGUACUUAUAUGGAACAAACGAUUAAGGCACUUUCCUGUUUCUAAUAUGAGAAAUAUUUUCAACA